rnacentral:lncRNA from 1 species
UUGGAGAAAAGAGUUUAAUGAUACAGAUUUAUCAAGCCAUUGUACCCAUAGGUACAAAAUAUACGUUGAAGGAAACGCAUGGUGUGAAUGUGUAUAGCUGACGCUUGACAGUUUGUUUUCGGUAAUUUACGAAUUUGGUAGUAUUUAAAAAGCAAACAUCUGCGUUUCGCUUUUAUUGUUUUCAUUAUAUUGAGCCGCCAAUAAUGGAUGUUAAACCGUCAUUUAUGGAAUAGUUUAAAUAUUUAAUGACCUAUUUAUUU